rnacentral:lncRNA from 1 species
AGCUAGCCCUGCUGCUCAAGUCGUCUGACUACUAGCUAAAAGCCUCUUUCCUCUCUUCUCAGUUUUAGAUCCAUUAUGCAGUUUUCUUGAAUAUUUGGAACCAGUGAAAUAUUUUUGGCAACCCAGCAAUAAUGCUUCAGUGAACGCAAAGAUCGACCACAUUACUCCCCCGUGGUGGUGAGGUCAAGACACUAAAGGCAGCGAGUGAGUCCUCCUCCCAAAGGUUAAAAGCAGGUCCUCUCCACACCUGGCCUUCUCUACUGACCACCUUACCAUUUCCCGUUUCGGAAAAGUUUGGGCCCUUGACCACUGAAGAGGAAAAGAUUCUAUUAUAAUAUGUCUUAGGCAGUUACUGGAUGGAAGUUGUGGAAGAACAACAGUGAAAGUCUUGGUAGCACUGUCACUUCUGGCUCACAAAAUUAACUGCAUUUGGGGCAUUAAAAAGUCAUUUUUUUCCCUUUUCCGAUGAUCUUUAUUGUCUAGUCAGAUAAUUGGAUAAAG